rnacentral:rRNA from 1 species
UGCCAGCCGCCGCGGUAAUACGAAGGGGGCUAGCGUUGUUCGGAAUAACUGGGCGUAAAGCGCACGUAGGCGGAUUGUUUAGUUAGGGGUGAAAUCCCGGGGCUCAACCCCGGAACUGCCUUUAAUACUGGCAAUCUAGAGUUCGAGAGAGGUGAGUGGAAUUCCGAGUGUAGAGGUGAAAUUCGUAGAUAUUCGGAGGAACACCAGUGGCGAAGGCGGCUCACUGGCUCGAUACUGACGCUGAGGUGCGAAAGUGUGGGGAGCAAACAGGAUUAGAUA